rnacentral:rRNA from 1 species
GACGAACGCUGGCGGCGUGCUUAACACAUGCAAGUCGAACGGAAAGGCCCUGCUUUUGUGGGGUGCUCGAGUGGCGAACGGGUGAGUAACACGUGAGUAACCUGCCCUUGACUUUGGGAUAACUUCAGGAAACUGGGGCUAAUACCGGAUAGGAGCUCCUGCUGCAUGGUGGGGGUUGGAAAGUUUCGGCGGUUGGGGAUGGACUCGCGGCUUAUCAGCUUGUUGGUGGGGUAGUGGCUUACCAAGGCUUUGACGGGUAGCCGGCCUGAGAGGGUGACCGGCCAAAUUGGGACUGAGAUACAGCCCAGACUCCUACGGGAGGCAGCAGUGGGGAAUAUUGCACAAUGGGCGGAAGCCUGAUGCAGCAACGCCGCGUGCGGGAUGACGGCCUUCGGGUUGUAAACCGCUUUCGCCUGUGACGAAGCGUGAGUGACGGUAAUGGGUAAAGAAGCACCGGCUAACUACGUG